rnacentral:rRNA from 1 species
GGCUCCGGUCAUAUUGGCGGUGGCGGAUCAACCCCGUGCGCCAAACUGUCCGCUCUAACAGACCGAAACGGUUCCCUGUGAGUAGGCCCCUUCAUUGGGGUCGAAAGCGCCUACGCAUCAACCAUAUGCAUACGGGACGUCGGUCAAAGUUACUGUGAACAAACCAGCGUGUCCAAAGCAGGCUUUCGCCUGAAUGUUCGAGCAUGGAAUAACAAGGGAUCGAUUCUCUCGGUUCUUUUUGUUGGUUUUUAACCCGAGAAGGAGUAAUGCAGGCCACGGUGUCUGAGGUGGGUUACCCUAGGCUUCGGUUUAGGCCCCAUCUAGGCCGUGUCCUUACGGGAUCAAUAGGGACUGACGGGGUCGUACCUACUUCCGCGUCAGAGGUGAAAUUCUUAGAUCGCGGGAAGAGGAACCUCUGCGAAAGCAUUCGACAAGAAUGUCUUCAUUAAUCAAGAACAAGAGUGUGGGGAUCGAAGAUGAUCAGAUACCGUCGUAGUCCACACUGUAAACAAUGCCGUCUCAGGAUUGAGAAGUGAACAUAAUGACUUUCACAGCACUAACCCCUGAAACGAGAAAUCAAAGAUUAUGGGUUCAGGGGGGAGUACAUUCGCAAGGCUGAAACUUAAAGGAAUUGACGGAAU